AAAGCAGGAGGAAAGCGUUAUCCGGAGUGACUGGGCGUAAAGAGCGUGUAGGCGGUUGAGUAAAUUGCGUGUGAAAGCGCCCGGCUAAACUGGGCGAGGACAGGCAAGACUGCUGAGCUAGAGGCCGAUAGAGGGGUGCGGAAUUCCGGGUGUAGCGGUGAAAUGUGUAGAGAUCCGGAGGAACACCAGUGGUGCAGACGGCGCCCUGGAUCGGACCUGACGCUGAGACGCGAAAGCGUGGGGAGCGAACGGG
rnacentral:rRNA from 1 species